GACGAACGCUGGCGGCGUGCUUAACACAUGCAAGUCGAACGAAGUGGCGAACGGGUGAGUAACGCGUAAUCAACCUGCCCUUCAGAGGGGGCCAACAGUUGGAACCGACUGCUAAUACCGCAUACUGAAGGAGGGGAUUGCGUCUGAUUAGCCAGUUGGAGGGGUAACGGCCCACCAAGGCGAUGAUCAGUAGCCGGUCUGGAAGGAUGAACGGCCACAUUGGGACUGGGACACGGCCCAGACUCCUACGGGAGGCAGCAGUGGGGAAGUUUCCGCAAUGGACGAAAGUCUGACGGAGCAACGCCGCGUGAGUGAUGACGGCCUUCGGGUUGGAAAGCUCUGUUAAUCGGGACGCGGUACCGGAAGAGAAAGCCACGGCUAACUACGUGCCAGCCGCCGCGGUAAUAC
rnacentral:rRNA from 1 species